AACGAACGCUGGCGGCAUGCCUAACACAUGCAAGUCGAACGAAGGCUUCGGCCUUAGUGGCGCACGGGUGCGUAACGCGUGGGAAUCUGCCCUUAGGUUCGGAAUAACAGUUAGAAAUGACUGCUAAUACCGGAUGAUGACGUAAGACCAAAGAUUUAUCGCCUGAGGAUGAGCCCGCGUAGGAUUAGCUAGUUGGUGUGGUAAAGGCGCACCAAGGCGACGAUCCUUAGCUGGUCUGAGAGGAUGAUCAGCCACACUGGGACUGAGACACGGCCCAGACUCCUACGGGAGGCAGCAGUGGGGAAUAUUGGACAAUGGGCGCAAGCCUGAUCCAGCAAUGCCGCGUGAGUGAUGAAGGCCUUAGGGUUGUAAAGCUCUUUUACCCGUGAUGAUAAUGACAGUAGCGGGAGAAUAAGCCCCGGCUAACUCCGUG
rnacentral:rRNA from 1 species